rnacentral:rRNA from 1 species
GAUCAUGGCUCAGGAUGAACGCUAGCGGCAGGCUUAACACAUGCAAGUCGAGGGGCAGCAUAAUGGAUAGCAAUAUCUAUGGUGGCGGCCGGCGCACGGGUGCGUAACGCGUAUGCAACCUACCUUUAACAGGGGGAUAACGACUGAGAAAUUGGUACUAAUACCCCAUAAUAUCAUAGAAGGCAUCUUUUANGAUUGAAAAUUCCGAUGGUUAGAGAUGGGCAUGCG